CCUGUCUGCAGAAGAGCUGGCACAGACACGGUGACUGACAGGCUACGGCCUUCCGGAGGGAAGCAGGCGGCACACAUGCUGCUCACAAGGAGAGAUAGCACCGGCACGGGGGCCCCUCAAAUGAGCCAGGGGACACAGUGGCUUCAUGCUAACUUCACUAUUGUUUGCUCUUUUAUGGUUGAUAUGAAUGCCUGGAAUGUAUGGGGCUGAAAGUGAAGCAUCCACAUUGUGACCACGAGGACACAUAUGACAGAAGAUAAGACUAAUGGACCAGAAAGCAAAAGAAGUUUCGAGUCUUACUAUUGUCAUGAGCCCACUACCCUAGUUUUGGACUACUCACCUCUGGAUUUAUUACUGUACGAAAAAAACAAAG